CCAUGCAAGUCGUACUUGCUCUCUGAUUAGUUUCCAUGAAAUGUUUGCGUCUCUCUGUGUCAUUGAUUUACAGAGUGAAUCGAGCAACACUUUAAUGGUUUUCCACACGACUCUCUUUCUUUGCAGUGAUCGAUAGACUCUUCAUACAGAGACCCUGCUCUCCAAUACAGCUGUAAAGACCAGGGACAACUCAUUAGAGACAGGGUUCAAAACAUGCUAGUAAAGUGGGGAGUCUGUGGACCAAAUGUGUGUCGUGUGAAGCUGGUGACAGGUGUGGUGUAUUACAAUCAGCAGACGAGGUUCAGGUGGGAGCUGCCUGAUUGGUCUUCUGGCGUCUCCAUAAAAGCAGUCUGCACUCGUCAUUUGAAGCUGGACCGUCGUCUUAUCUCCAGUCAGUACUGGGAGUAGAACUGUCUUUGUCACCAGCCUAGAGUUUCUAGUAAUUCUGUUUUCUGUGUUUAGAAAGCUGAUUCCUGCCUGCUGAGUUGCCUGGGUUCCUUUGUCUGCUGGUUCUCCGCUCUGCCACCGAUUCUGCUUCCUUCUCCAGAGGAUCUCCACCUGUCGCCAGCUUUAACCUGGGAACAUCGGCUUACACCUUCUCUGGAAACACCUACCACGACCGGAUUCACAGACGCCAACCUACCAAUCGCAUGGCGAACACCUGGAGGGAGAGUUCUAGAUGAAGUCAAACCUAAGGACUGUUUCUCAGCUCAUCAGCUGAGUCUCCAAGCCCUAGUAUCACCAGACUGUUUGUAUUGUUAAUACGUCGAAUUAAAUAAUUAGUGUUCCGUAUUUAACUUAGUGUGUUUUAUGCUUUGCAUAAGAUAGUUUUAGUCUGGGGUUUCAGCUCAGAAUUACUGGUAGUCUAGGCUGGGUUAGUUUUGUAUUUCAGUUGUUUUCCUGCUUUGGUGUUACCAUCUGUGGGUUAACUGUAGUUUUCAGUUGUAGUUAUUCCUGGUUUCUAGUUCCACUUCAUGUACAAAAUCUUUGGUAUGGUAAAUAAAGCAUUGUUAAAAC
ensembl:lncRNA